rnacentral:lncRNA from 1 species
ACAUGGCUUUCAUUGUCUUUGUAAUAAUUGUCUCAAGAUAAACUCCCAAGAGUGGGAUUGCUGGGUCAAAGGGUGUGGAAAUUUUAUGAUUCUUUAUAAUUGUUGCCAAAUUGCUUUUUCAAAGAGAACAUACAAAUCCCACAGCCACUACACCACCAAUGACCUCAGAAUUUCCCUAGCUUUGGUCUCAAAAAACAAAAACAAAAACUAAACAAAAACUAUUAUUUAUUUGAACGAUGUAAAUGACCAUCUCAUUAUUGUUUUAAUUUGCAUUUUUUAUUAUUAAUAAGAUUUUUGCAAAUUUGUUUAAUAAGCACAUUCAAUGUGCUAAUUCCAAUUCAUAACAUUUAUCUGCAUGGUAUUUUUUAGGCACCAGUUAAAAUAUUUGUUAUAAAAUAUAACCCUUGGGAGUUCCCAUCAUGGCUCAGCAGUUAAUGAACCUGACUAGCGUCCAUGAGGAGGCAGGUUCAAUCCCUGGCCUUGUUUAGCGGGUUAAGGAUCUGGUGUUGCUGUGGCUAUGGUGUGGACCAGAGGCUACAGCUCCGAUUGGACCUCUAGCCUGGGAACCUCCAUAUGCUGUGAGUGCGGCCCUAAAAAUGACAAAAAAUAAAAAAUAUAUAUAACCCUUGGACUGUCAUAUUUGAUGCAAAUAUUUUCCUUGUUGGUUUUACUAUUUGCUUGCAGCUACAUUAUUCUUCAUUUCAUGGAACUCCAACAGGUUCUUUAGGAAAGAACUUGCUAAUUCCUUCCUUAAUGGUGUCCUAAUGUCAGCACACAAGUGAUCCUAAGACCUCAGUGUGGUUACCUGCACUGAAUCUGGAGUCAGAACCAUGAAGUCUCUGGUCUCCAAUACUAUCUGCCAUGGGCCACAGGCAAGUUUCUGGGCCUGGGUUUUCUCACCUGUGAAGUGGGAAGUAAGUUUAAAGCCCCUCCACUGCACCUGGCAUGCAGUAAGCAUAACACCCAACAGCAAAAUCACCACCACUACAUCAUCUCCUGGUCAUCACUCCAUGCAUUAACCAUUUAUAGCAAACUCUGGAGCCUAUCAGGGAAUUAAUUCUAGUAUUUAAUACAGCAUAUAUAUUUCUUUUAAUUUUUAUUUAUUUAUUUAUUUAUUUUUGUAUUUUUAGGGCCACACCCUUGGCAUACGGAAUUUCCCAGGUGAGGGGUUGAAUAUCAGCUAUAGCUGCGGGCCUCUACCACAGCCACAGCAACGCCAGAUCUGAGCCAUGUCUGUAACCUACACCAUAGCCACAGCAAUGCAGGAUCCUUACCCCUCUGAGCAAGGCCAGGGAUCGAACCUGUGUCCUCACAAAUACUAGUCAGAUUCAUUUCUGCUGAGCCACGACGAGCACUCCAGCAUAUACAUUUAAAAUAUUUUUUAGAAAUUGCUCCUCAUUUAUGCAAAUCUGAUUUUCCUUCCUCUUGUUUUUGAUUCACUUUUACAAUGGGCCAUGACGGCCUGUGGGCUUUUCAACAUGCACAAAAUGGAGACUCACAUCAGAGAUAUUAAUCAGAAUGUCUGUAUAACAUGUUUUUGGUUUGGUUUGGUUUAAUGUAACUGUCCUGUUUCCGGCCCCUCCUAAUUAGCAAUGCCGUAGACUUGCCUCACCAAUGAACUUGGAAUCAAAAAACCGGAGAUACAGUGUCAGGAUCUGAGCUACUGUUCUGCAGCAAGUCAUCUGGCCUGAACCUUUGCUACUUUUCCUUUGCAGAGUGAGGACAACAAUGCCCAAUCUUUUAAACUCCCAAGAAUAUUGUGACGGUCAAGUGCAACGACGUCUGGAGAUGUAAGGCAGGGAUAUUCUUCCCACUUACACCUGUUCCUGUAAGAUGUGGUUUCCACAUUUUUUCACCUUCCAAAACAUCUCCAAGGCCCCUCUCACAGCACAGAAGUUGAGCGCUUGCAUUCUGGACUUGGUCAUUAACCAACUGUCGGAUGUGGUGAAGUUCACGUCAUGCCCCUGAGCUUUUAGUCUUCUCACUAGUACAGUGGGGACUGGAGGGCUGGGGUUGGCUCAUGUGUGUGCAAGUAUUUAGCAGCUUGGACACACACAGCAGCACUGGAUACAUUACUUUAUCACAUGUUGCUUAUUCUUGUUGACCCUGAAGAGCCUCUCUCCACCCCUGUGGUUGUGUUCUUCACGGGUCCUCAGCUUCUGAGAGGCACCAGGCGAAGGGCAGCAGAGGAAGGAAAUGAGAAGCAGUUGAAGCAAGAUACGGUGUAUUAUUCAUUUUUUCCCUCUUCCUCCAGGGCCAGGGCUCCCAUUCAGCAGCCCUUCUCCUGAGGCCAAGGCUCCACAGGGCCCUUUUCAGGCCUCAAGGCCAUAACAGCAUCCCACUGAGGCUGGUCUCUGAUGCUUCAUUAUCUCCCCUGUCUCCCUUUAACCCUGACCACCCUUCUGUAGCCAGUCGGUCCUUCAAGUGGCCACAGUCAGUCCUUUGAGGACUUCAUCUUUUUUGUCAGCCAGGACACUGAUAAAAGUCUUGGUCCUCAUUUGAACUGAUAAGCAAACCUGGAAUCCUUCAAACCCGGUAGGUCUGACCCUAUGCAGCAACAUCCACGUACAUCCCAGUGAGGUGCGUGGGCCCAGUCAAAAAAGCAAGAACUUAUCACACAUCAUACUUUCUAGAAUUACUUUAAUAGCUGCUUUAAGGGUAUCGAGUUUCACAUCAGAGAACAUCAUCAUUUUGUCCUGAAUAUCACCGAAAGCAAAGGAUGCACUGUUGCUGAACCUAAAAGGCAUGCGAACACUCUAACCUAGAGGCUAAGCUGCUGAUCACAUCUCCCCACAAGACUCAGCCUGGGAUGACAUGGCCCCAGUCCAUGGGAUCCACCCAAGAUUCUAGACCUCUGAGCUCCAGCGAUGUUUCCCAUUAGCACAUCUUAGGUUUCUACAUCUUGGACAUGUUCACCCCAUCACGGCCUUGGCCAAGAGCACUGCCAGAAGGUCCACCAACACCCACAUGUACAAGGAAAUCAGAGUGGAGACUCUCAAUACUGAAAACUCCCUGCUCUUCUCCAAUAUUUCUUUCUCAUGAAACGUGCCAGGAAUAAAAUUAAAUCUAAAAUAAAUUCACACAUUCCAGAAGCUGGGACCAUUUCAUGGGAUGGAUAAUACAUGUACAGGCUCUACCUCAGCAGGCAGCAAGGAGCUGAACUGUGAGAACGAGCUCCUUUGAGGAUUACUUUGUUCCACUGGGACUUCCAUAGUGCUGAUGUGGAUAAAAAUGGGGUGUUUAGAUUUUUUUUUUAAUUUGCAAUGGUGUUGCAGGUUUUAACAAUAAAAAGCAAUCUUCAGAAUAUAAAUUUUCUUUAAAAAAAAAAAUCUGUUUAAUGAACAAGUCGGGUUACCUAUAAGGCAGCCACUAGCCUAGCCACGUGUGACUAUUUACAUUUAUGAGAGUUCAAUACAAUUUAAAAGCCAUUCUCUUCACCAGGAUAGCCACAUUUCAAGUACUCAACAGCCACAGGUGGCCAAAAGUCAUACCCUGAGAAGUUCUACCAUAUAGCAUUGAGUCAAACCACUUCAUUCUACGCACUGUAUACAGCUACAUUUUCACUGACAGCAGAAGAGUAGCAGCAAUUACAGUUUAUUGAAGUUUCUAUUAGUGGUGGCAAUUAUCCAUUCUCUUUAUCUCAGCCUUCCUCUUCAGAGACUAGAAACACUGAAUAGGCUUGGUAUGCUUAUGAUACAAUGCCAGCCAAUAAGAUGCAAACAGAAGUCUACUGGGGACUCCUUGGAAAACUUUUAUUCUCCUGAUAAAGGAACUGCACCUUGCUCCUCCUUCAUCUUUGGACAUAAAUAAGAUGACUGGCGACAUAGCAGCCAUCUAGCAACCAAAAGGCAAAUGCAUAAGGAUGACGGUCAAUCCACCAACUUCAAUGGAAUGGGGAGAGAGGAAGAACCUGCAAUUGUGACGGCGUAGUCGAGGAGCUAAUCACACCAGGACCACCUAUCAAUCAAUUCAUCUCUAUGUGUGUUGCAUGAGGAAUCAUAUCCCUACUUGUUUAAGCUACUGUUAGAAGCAUUUCUUGGGUUAUGCUGAUUGUUGUACAACUAUAAAUGUAAUCAAAUUCAUUGAGUUAAAUAAAUAAAUAAAUAAAUAAACAAAGGAAGCCUUUCUACCAGACACAGCCAUAACCAUGUUACAAUCAUCAGUCUAUAAUGGUGAGGUUCUAGAAACUAAGUACCCUGAGAUCUAAAAUCAUCCAAGUCACUGGAAUGACUAGACCCAAAACAAUCCAACUGCUAAAACAAUUUGUGUUUAUAUUGACUUUCAUGUUAAGGCUUAUAUAGUUUUAAGCAGAUAACAUAAUCACAAAAAGUUUGACUAAAUGCUACACUUACCAUUUAAAAUAUGCAUGAGAAAUAACAGAUCAAAUAGCAAUACCCUGAAGAGUUUUAACAAAUAUCUUUGAGUGCAAAUAUAUGGAUAAGUUUUAUGCUUUAAAAAUGUUCUUUAGUGAACACUCACUCCCUUUGUAUGUAUAUAUGUGCAAAUUGCAAACACCUAGAAAACACGUGUGGUUAGAGAUUUUCAUACUCUUUCAUAUCUAAACAAAAAGGUACCUGUUAAAACCAUGUUGGUAGUGUUUUCCUGAAAUGACCUUAGAGAUUAAUGGAAAGAUCCUCUUAUAAACAGAAAUACAAUGCAUUGGUGCCUUAAAUCUCAUCAUCAUUAAUUCUUUGGCUUAAGAAAAACAGGAAUUUGGAAGCCUGUUAAAAGUAAAAUUUUCCCUUAGGGGAGGAAUAUCCCCUGUUGGCUGUUUGGAUUACUUGGUGUAGAAACACCUGCUAUCUCAAAGGAACACCGGGACAUUGCUCUGGGGGCCAGGGCUUGGAGUCUCAUCAGAGUGGAAUGGUGGAGAAAUGGUUGGCUGAAUUUCCUUGUCAACCUAGUCCCAGUGUAAUCCGGUAUAGCCAUCACUAUACUAGUGUCAUCUAGGGCCAUCACUAAGCAUCUGUGUGUAGCAUAACUGCAACUCACAUGUGGGAGCUGAGUAAUGAUUGGUGAGUGAAUGAAUGAAUGAAUGACCAGCAAUAAAACCUACUCUUUGGAGUUCCUGCUGUGGCACAAUGGGAUCAGAGGCACCUCUGCAGCACCAGGACACAGGCUCAAUCCCAAGUCCAGGCAGUGGGUUAAAGGAUCUGGAGCCACUGCCUGCAGCAUAGGUUGCAACUGUGGCUCAGAUCUGAACCUUGGCAUGGGACCUCCAUAUGUUGCCGGGGAGGGGGGGGAAGGCAAAAAAGAAAAACAAACAAAAGCUUACUCUUUGCUCUGGAACACAAAAUCUCUCUAACAAUACCCUUCAUCUCAGCAGUCUGCCAGCAAACUAACCUUGAAGGCACCGUGGUCUCCUAAACUUCACAUUGCAUUUUCUGCAGCUAUGCAUCAGAUUGUUUUUCACCCCAACUUGCAAGGUGAUGGUGGCAAGUUGAUAUCUUUCCAUUGUCCUAACCAAAAGAAAUGUUUCAAAGCCAUGUUAUGGCCAAUUUAGGGUGAUAAAUAAUUGACUAUAAAAUUUCCCUCAUAUCAAAGUGUUCCACCAUACAGACAAGUCAAAGAUAGGAUAUCCACAGAUUUUCAGGUGGGCAUCUCUUAUCUUCCACCUGCCUUCUCCCACAUGUGCCUUCUUUCCUGGCAGAGCUCCAUUCGACCUUCAAAAUUUCAACAGUUAAGAAGCCCUCUUUGGUUCAGGCAUCCUUUGUAUUGACAUGCUGAUUCUCCAAAGAGCACAUCUGAACUUGGCUUAAAGCAGAUGUCCUAUGCCAUAACUUAACCCAGGUGAUGUCUGAAGUUUUAUUUAGUUUUUCUCUUUACACAUAUGGUACAUAUUAAGAAAGACACAGGGCAUGCUGGGAAAAGGCCCUACUUGGACUUUAAGGAAGUAAAAUAACCCAACCAUUUGAUAGUUUUCUGACACUUUAAGUCAUUGCUUAUACACUUCCCUGAGUAACGGCAGUGUUUAAUCUUGACCUUGGAAAAGGUACCACCAAUCUAAAAGAGAGGAAUCACUUCUGACACACAGUAAAGGGGUUCUAGAUGUACCUGCAGGUAAACUAAGGUGUUUGGAAUUGUAAUUUGGUGCAAAAGGCAGGUAUUCUGCUGCACUCAACCCUCAGAAAGAAAGGAGAGAGAGAAAAAGAGAGAGGAGGCGGGGCAGGGAGAAAGAAAGACAGAAGUAAUAAGCCUUGGUCAGUGAAGCAGAGCCCACUGGAGUUUUAAAGUGCUGAAAUUCUUUAGAAAGUCCUCUGUUUUGCAACCCAAACCCUCUUGGCCUUCACUGCCCACUCCAAUUAAAUACCACUCGGAUGCAAAGCUUGUUUAUCUCUUUUACAAUUGGAAGUUUUUCUGUGAAUAACUUCCAUAAGCC